rnacentral:tRNA from 1 species
GGGGCUGUAGCUCAGUGGUGGAGUGCUCGCUUAGCAUGUGUGAGGCACUGGGUUCGAUCCUCAGCACCA